CUUGCACAAACCUCAACCAACUGCUCCAAUGUGGCACUCCCAAACAAAACACUCCGAAGCCACGGCUGCACCAGAGACUCUUCAACAAGAACCCUAUCUCUCAACACCGUUAACACAAACACCACAGUUUCAUCAUCAUCGCUUCCUAACCCUCUCAGAACGCCGGAAUACAUCUCUCUCUGCUGCAAAACCCACCGCAACAGCCACGGCUUCCCGACCUCCAAAAACGACAUCGCAAAUCUGACAAACGGCUUCCUCAACAACCCAACCCUCGCCU
rnacentral:misc_RNA from 1 species